UGGGUGGAAUCCCUAUGAAUGCUGCUU
rnacentral:piRNA from 1 species